rnacentral:rRNA from 1 species
UUUGACAUGUACGGAACUCGCCAGAGAUGGCUUGGUGCUCGAAAGACGAACCGUAACACAGGUGCUGCAUGGCUGUCGUCAGCUCGUGUCGUGAGAUGUUGGGUUAAGUCCCGCAACGAGCGCAACCCUUGUCAUUAGUUGCUACAUUUAGUUGGGGCACUCUAAUGAGACUGCCGGUGACAAGCCGAGGAAGUGGGGAUGACGUCAAGUCCUCAUGGCCCUUAUAGGUGGGGCUACACACGUCAUACAAUGGCUGGUACAGAGGGUUGCCAACCCGCGAGGGGGAGCUAAUCCCAUAAAACCAGUCGUAGUCCGGAUCGCAGUCUGCAACUCGACUGCGUGAAGUCGGAAUCGCUAGUAAUCGCGGAUCAGAAUGUCGCGGUGAAUACGUUCCCGGGUCUU